AGCUACUCCAGUACUCUUGAGAAUGCCUAAUUUUAUCUGAUCUCUGAAGCUAAGCAGGGUUGGGCUUGGUUAGUACUUUGAUGGGAGACCGUGACAGGGUUAGGGUUAGUGACUG
rnacentral:rRNA from 1 species